CAAAAUACAUUAUCUAUCUAUUAUUAUUAUUAUUAUUAUUAUAGCAGCCAAUUUCAUUUAAAUUCUUCCACUUAUUUAAUUUUCAACUAUUUUUGUGCUCAAUUGAUAACAAUUAUAGCCAUCUUUAAUACAUUAAAGAGUCCCAAUUUAUUUUUUCUAAUCCUUUCAUCAAGAUCGAUCCAACGGUUGAGAUCACACCCCCUUCCUUUCAUUUUUAAACAACAAAUAAAACCCUAAUCCCACUAUUCUCUCAAUAACCGCAUCUCUCUCUGCCUCUUCCUCUCUCUUCUUUCUUUCUCUAUCAAAUAGCAAAGGCUGCCGCCGGCCACCACGACUCCGAUCAUCGUGGCUGGUGAUACGCCGGAGCAGUCGCGACCCAUCGUCGGCCUCCUCUCUCCGCUCUCUUGUUUCCAGCCGUGGCUCCAGCCGGCGGAAUCAUCAAGAACCGCCGCCAACGUCGCUACCCACCAGCCAAUACUCCAGCGUCAACUCCCUCUCCGUCGCUCAAUCGGCAAAACUCCAAUCCUCGUCACUUGAGAAGUGCAGAGCGAUUGACAUCAUUUGGAAAUGAGGGUGGAGUAACUUGAAUUAUAGCAAAGGGAUUGUGCAAAUCAAUAUCAGUAAGGGAAGAUGGAGGAGAGUCAUCUUGAAUUGGUUUGGCCAAUUUAUUAUUUUCGUACACACAAUAGCCAUUCGGCCAACUUAUUUACUAAAUAUGGUUGUUCAGCUUUUGUUAUUGCACCAGAGGUGCACAUGAGCUGCUCCUCUCAUGUUGAGUUAGAAAUCAAAAGAGUUGCUACUCUGUAUAUCAUCCACUUGGCUAAAGAUAUUUUUUCUAUUAAUCAAUUUGAUAAAGACAUGUGUUAAUGUUUAUGUUAA